rnacentral:tRNA from 1 species
GCGCGCAUAGCUCAGUGGUAGAGCGUUCGCUUCACAUGCGAAAGGUCGUAGGUUCGAAACCUACUGCGCGCA